rnacentral:tRNA from 1 species
UGGGGUGUGGCUCAAUGGUAGAGCACUUGCCUAGCAUGUAUAAAGCCCUGGGUUCAACCCCAGCACCACAC